rnacentral:rRNA from 1 species
UCGGGAAUAUUGCGCAAUGGAGGAAACUCUGACGCAGUGACUCCGCGUGCAGGAAGAAGGUUUUCGGAUUGUAAACUGCUUUAGACAGGGAAGAAACAAGACAGUACCUGUAGAAUAAGCUCCGGCUAACUACGUGCCAGCAGCCGCGGUAAUACGUAGGGAGCAAGCGUUAUCCGGAUUUAUUGGGUGUAAAGGGUGCGUAGACGGGAAAUUAAGUUAGUUGUGAAAUCCCUCGGCUUAACUGAGGAACUGCAACUAAAACUGAUUUUCUUGAGUGUUGGAGAGGAAAGUGGAAUUCCUAGUGUAGCGGUGAAAUGCGUAGAUAUUAGGAGGAACACCAGUGGCGAAGGCGACUUUCUGGACAAUAACUGACGUUGAGGCACGAAAGUGUGGGGAGCAAACAGGAUUAGAUACCC